rnacentral:rRNA from 1 species
AACGAACGCUGGCGGCAGGCUUAACACAUGCAAGUCGAGCGCCCCGCAAGGGGAGCGGCAGACGGGUGAGUAACGCGUGGGCAUCUACCCAUCUCUACGUAAUAACGCAUGGAGACGUGUGCUAAUACCGUAUACGUCCUUCGGGAGAAAGAUUUAUCGGAGAUGGAUGAGCCCGCGUUGGAUUAGCUAGUUGGUGGGGUAAAGGCCUACCAAGGCGACGAUCCAUAGCUGGUCUGAGAGGAUGAUCAGCCACACUGGGACUGAGACACGGCCCAGACUCCUACGGGAGGCAGCAGUGGGGAAUAUUGGACAAUGGGCGCAAGCCUGAUCCAGCCAUGCCGCGUGAGUGAUGAAGGCCCUAGGGUUGUAAAGCUCUUUCACCGGUGAAGAUAAUGACGGUAACCGGAGAAGAAGCCCCGGCUAACUUCGUGCCAGCAGCCGCCGUAACAC